rnacentral:rRNA from 1 species
UAAACAGCUCCCUAAUUGGGGGCCAGUGAAUGGCCACACAGAGAAAAACUUUGUUACCAAUGAUAAGAAAAAUUUUCAUUUAAGUGAAAAGACUUAAAUAAAGGAAAAAGACAAAAAGACCCCGCGGAACUUCCUUAUAGUUAUACUAUACAUAACAAAACCUGUAUUUAUAUCUAACUGGUUGGUUGGGGCAACCUUGGAACAAAUAAAACCUCCAUCUAUUAAGAAAACCCAUAAAAAACUUAYUAUGGACCAUAUUGCAGUUACCCCGGGGAUAACAGCGUAAUUCAACUUGAGAGUACGAAUCGAAAGUUGAGUUUGCGACCUCGAUGUUGGCUUAGGGAAAGCAUUCUGGCGCAGCAGCUAGAUCA